rnacentral:tRNA from 1 species
AAGGGAGACCUAAUUCAGGUAUGGGAUGAAAAAAAAGUAGUCCCAACCAAGAAUCAAUCCCAAAAGGUCGGAGCGAGGCAAAAUUGGCUUUCAAACUAGGUUCUGGGUUCACACAAGACCUGAAUCAGGAACAAGGGCUAUUAGCUCAGGUGGUUAGAGCGCACCCCUGAUAAGGGUGAGGUCCCUGGUUCGAGUCCAGGAUGGCCCACCUGCACAGGUGGCCAAAACAAAGAAAAAAAGCUCCGAAUCAGCACCUUAUCUUACUUAUAUAGUAAGAGAGAAUGCUGGCUCUGAGUACAGAGUCCAGAGGAACCUUGAAAACUGCAUAGAGCUAGGUGAAAAAGCCAAAAAAGAAGACCGCAA